GCUCAGAUUGAACGCUGGCGGCAGGCCUAACACAUGCAAGUCGAACGGUAGCACAGAGAGCUUGCUCUCGGGUGACGAGUGGCGGACGGGUGAGUAAUGUCUGGGAAACUGCCUGAUGGAGGGGGAUAACUACUGGAAACGGUAGCUAAUACCGCAUAACGUCGCAAGACCAAAGAGGGGGACCUUCGGGCCUCUUGCCAUCAGAUGUGCCCAGAUGGGAUUAGCUAGUAGGUGGGGUAACGGCUCACCUAGGCGACGAUCCCUAGCUGGUCUGAGAGGAUGACCAGCCACACUGGAACUGAGACACGGUCCAGACUCCUACGGGAGGCAGCAGUGGGGAAUAUUGCACAAUGGGCGCAAGCCUGAUGCAGCCAUGCCGCGUGUAUGAAGAAGGCCUUCGGGUUGUAAAGUACUUUCAGCGGGGAGGAAGGUGAUGUGGUUAAUAACCACAGCAAUUGACGUUACCCGCAGAAGAAGCACCGGCUAACUCCGUGCCAGCAGCCGCGGUAAUACGGAGGGUGCAAGCGUUAAUCGGAAUUACUGGGCGUAAAGCGCACGCAGGCGGUCUGUCAAGUCGGAUGUGAAAUCCCCGGGCUCAACCUGGGAACUGCAUUCGAAACUGGCAGGCUAGAGUCUUGUAGAGGGGGGUAGAAUUCCAGGUGUAGCGGUGAAAUGCGUAGAGAUCUGGAGGAAUACCGGUGGCGAAGGCGGCCCCCUGGACAAAGACUGACGCUCAGGUGCGAAAGCGUGGGGAGCAAACAGGAUUAGAUACCCUGGUAGUCCACGCCGUAAACGAUGUCGACUUGGAGGUUGUGCCCUUGAGGCGUGGCUUCCGGAGCUAACGCGUUAAGUCGACCGCCUGGGGAGUACGGCCGCAAGGUUAAAACUCAAAUGAAUUGACGGGGGCCCGCACAAGCGGUGGAGCAUGUGGUUUAAUUCGAUGCAACGCGAAGAACCUUACCUACUCUUGACAUCCAGAGAACUUUCCAGAGAUGGAUUGGUGCCUUCGGGAACUCUGAGACAGGUGCUGCAUGGCUGUCGUCAGCUCGUGUUGUGAAAUGUUGGGUUAAGUCCCGCAACGAGCGCAACCCUUAUCCUUUGUUGCCAGCGGUCCGGCCGGGAACUCAAAGGAGACUGCCAGUGAUAAACUGGAGGAAGGUGGGGAUGACGUCAAGUCAUCAUGGCCCUUACGAGUAGGGCUACACACGUGCUACAAUGGCGCAUACAAAGAGAAGCGACCUCGCGAGAGCAAGCGGACCUCAUAAAGUGCGUCGUAGUCCGGAUUGGAGUCUGCAACUCGACUCCAUGAAGUCGGAAUCGCUAGUAAUCGUAGAUCAGAAUGCUACGGUGAAUACGUUCCCGGGCCUUGUACACACCGCCCGUCACACCAUGGGAGUGGGUUGCAAAAGAAGUAGGUAGCUUAACCUUCGGGAGGG
rnacentral:rRNA from 1 species